rnacentral:lncRNA from 1 species
UCAUCUGAAAUCGAGUCUUCUGAAUCAGAAUCCGAAUUAUCUGAUUCUAAUGCAGAUGGUAAGCUGGACUUUUAAGUGGAAGCCAUGUUUGUCAAGUCGAUGCCGGAAGUUUUCAAAGUUUUAUUGAGCCUUUUGAAAUAAGAUUUCAUGGAAUUGAAUCUCUUCUUGUAUUUGGACACGUCUUUCUGACUCGCGUUACACUUGUUCUGAAAAUGAAAACAAAAAUGAGUUCGAUAAUCAACAAAAUUAUUGAAAUAUAUUUAAAAUACCUCCAAUUCCUUAAAUUUUUCCGACCAAACUGCAUCUGGUGCUGCAUCAGUAGUCGUGUUUUCGGAGAUAGACUAUUUUCCUUUCCAAUUUGGAGAAGCCCAUCUUUCGUUUGUUGUGCUCACCAUACUGUCAGCUUCUCCAAUUCCUAAUAUCCUAUUCUUUUUAUUUUUUCCGAAAGUCUUGUUGACCGUCGCUUCGAUAAAUUGUUGUAUUAUAAAAAGUAAAUAAAUAGUAAAUGCGAAAUAUGUAUAAAAGAAGCAAUGGAACUUACAAUUGGAGUCAUUGAUUCAGAUUCAGCCCACGAUUUUGCUUCUUGACUUUUGAUAAAUUCCG